ACUCCUACGGGAGGCAGCAGUGGGAAGUAUUGCACAAUGGGGGAAACCCUGAUGCAGCCAUGCCGCGUGUGUGAAGAAGGCCUUGGGUUGUAAAGCACUUUCAGUAGGGAGGAAGGUAGUGUAGUUAACACCUGCAUUAUUUGACGUUACCUACAGAAGAAGCACCGGCUAACUCCGUGCCAGCAGCCGCGGUAAUACGGAGGGUGCGAGCGUUAAUCGGAAUUACGUGGGCGUAAAGCGCAUGCAGGCGGCCUGUUAAGUCAGAUGUGAAAGCCCGGGGCUUAACCUCGGAAUUGCAUUUGAAACUGGCAGGCUAGAGUCUUGUAGAGGGGGUUAGAAUUUCAGGUGUAGCGGUGAAAUGCGUAGAGAUCUGAAGGAAUACCGAGUGGCGAACGGCGGCCCCCGUGGACAAAGACUGACGCUCAGAUGCGAAAGCGUGGGAGCAAACAGGAUUAGAUACCCCGUGGUAGCGACUGA
rnacentral:rRNA from 1 species